AUACCUUCUCGGCCUUAUGGCUAAGAUCAAGUGUAGUAUCUGUUCUAAUCAGUGUGAAAACGGAUUACCGGGUGAUAAGCCCGGUUUUAUUUUCACAUUUAUUUCUGAGCACGGUCGGACUGC
rnacentral:snRNA from 1 species